CCCGUUGUCAUUGGGGAGUAGCCAUUCCGGGCGCAAUGCUCGGAAGUCCACGUCAACAAACUUGAGACCUUGCCGUCUCAUGGUGUGGACAGCCUCUGCUGCAAGCAGAGCCGCUAGGCGAGACCUUUGGCCGCGACGUGCACACCCAGGCC
rfam:Ralstonia pickettii 12J chromosome 1, complete sequence.